UAGGGAAUCUUCGGCAAUGGGGGGAACCCUGACCGAGCAACGCCGCGUGAGUGAAGAAGGUUUUCGGAUCGUAAAACUCUGUUAUUAGGGAAGAACAUAUGUGUAAGUAACUGUGCACAUCUUGACGGUACCUAAUCAGAAAGCCACGGCUAACUACGUGCCAGCAGCCGCGGUAAUACGUAGGUGGCAAGCGUUAUCCGGAAUUAUUGGGCGUAAAGCGCGCGUAGGCGGUUUUUUAAGUCUGAUGUGAAAGCCCACGGCUCAACCGUGGAGGGUCAUUGGAAACUGGAAAACUUGAGUGCAGAAGAGGAAAGUGGAAUUCCAUGUGUAGCGGUGAAAUGCGCAGAGAUAUGGAGGAACACCGGUGGCGAAAGCGGCUCUCUGGUCUGUAACUGACGCUGAGGCUCGAAAGCGUGGGGAGCGAACAGGAUUAGAUACCCUGGUAGUCCACGCCGUAAACGAUGAGUGCUAGGUGUUAGGUCCUUUCCGGGACUUAGUGCCGCAGCUAACGCAUUUAAGCACUCCGCCUGGGGAGUACGACCGCAAGGUU
rnacentral:rRNA from 1 species